rnacentral:rRNA from 1 species
AGAGUUUGAUCCUGGCUCAGAACGAACGCUGGCGGCGUGGAUAAGACAUGCAAGUCGAACGGGAUUUUCUUUGGUAGCAAUACCGAAGAAAGUCUAGUGGCGAACGGGUGCGUAACACGUGGGCAAUCUGCCUUAAAGUGGGGGAUAGCUCGGCGAAAGCCGAAUUAAUACCGCAUGUGAUCAGGGGAGACAUCUUCCCGAAAUCAAAAGUGGCGCAAGCUACUGCUUUUUGAGGAGCCCGCGGCCUAUCAGCUAGUUGGUGAGGUAAUGGCUCACCAAGGCUAUGACGGGUAGCUGGUCUGAGAAGACGACCAGUCACACUGGAACUGAGACACGGUCCAGACACCUACGGGUGGCAGCAGUCGAGAAUUUUUCUCAAUGGGGGAAACCCUGAAGGAGCGACGCCGCGUGGAGGAUGAAGGUCUUCGGGUUGUAAACUCCUGUCAUUUGGGAACAAGUGCCGGUACGUAACUGCUACCGGCUUGAUAGUACCAGAAGAGGAAGAGACGGCUAACUCUGUGCCAGCAGCCGCGGUAAUACAGAGGUCUCAAGCGUUGUUCGGAUUCAUUGGGCGUAAAGGGUGUGUAGGUGGCGCCGUAAGUCGGGUGUGAAAUUUCGGAGCUUAACUCCGAAACUGCAUUCGAUACUGCGGUGCUUGAGGACUGGAGAGGAGACUGGAAUUCGUGGUGUAGCAGUGAAAUGCGUAGAGAUCAUGAGGAAGACCAGUGGCGAAGGCGGGUCUCUGGACAGUUCCUGACACUGAGACACGAAGGCCAGGGGAGCAAACGGGAUUAGAUACCCCGGUAGUCC